CCUACCACCUAUCCUUCU
rnacentral:snRNA from 1 species